rnacentral:rRNA from 1 species
AUUGAACGCUGGCGGCAGGCCUAACACAUGCAAGUCGAGCGGAGCGGCGGACGGGUGAGUAAGGCCUAGGAUUCUGCCUGGUAGUGUGGGAUAAAUUCCGGAAACGGGCGCUAAUACCGCAUACUUUCAGUUCAGACUAGGUCGGAUUAGUUAGUUGGUGGGGUAAAGGCCUACCAAGGCGACGAUCCGUACCUGGUCUGAGAGGAUGAUCAGUCACACUGGAACUGAGACACGGUCCAGACUCCUACGGGAGGCAGCAGUGGGGAAUAUUGGACAAUGGGCGAAAGCCUGAUCCAGCCAUGCCGCGUGUGUGAAGAAGGUCUUCGGAUUGUAAAGCACUUUAAGUUGGGAGGCGUUACCAACAGAAUAAGCACCGGCUAACUUCGUGCCAGCCGCCGCGGUAAUUC